rnacentral:rRNA from 1 species
AACGAACGCUGGCGGCAUGCCUAACGCAUGCAAGUCGAACGAGACCUUCGGGUCUAGUGGCGCACGGGUGCGUAACGCGUGGGAACCUGCCCUUAGGUUCGGAAUAACUCCCCGAAAGGGGUGCUAAUACCGGAUAAUGUCUUCGGACCAAAGAUUUAUCGCCUUUGGAUGGGCCCGCGUUGGAUUAGCUAGUUGGUAGGGUAAAAGCCUACCAAGGCGACGAUCCAUAGCUGGUCUGAGAGGAUGAUCAGCCACACUGGGACUGAGACACGGCCCAGACUCCUACGGGAGGCAGCAGUGGGGAAUAUUGGACAAUGGGCGAAAGCCUGAUCCAGCAAUGCCGCGUGAGUGAUGAAGGCCUUAGGGUUGUAAAGCUCUUUUACCCGGGAUGAUAAUGACAGUACCGGGAGAAGAAGCUCCGGCUAACUCCGU